rnacentral:rRNA from 1 species
CCUACGGGCGGCUGCAGUGGGGAAUAUUGCACAAUGGGCGCAAGCCUGAUGCAGCCAUGCCGCGUGUGUGAAGAAGGCCUUCGGGUUGUAAAGCACUUUCAGCGGGGAGGAAGGCGUUAAGGUUAAUAACCUUGGCGAUUGACGUUACCCGCAGAAGAAGCACCGGCUAACUCCGUGCCAGCAGCCGCGGUAAUACGGAGGGUGCAAGCGUUAAUCGGAAUUACUGGGCGUAAAGCGCACGCAGGCGGUCUGUCAAGUCGGAUGUGAAAUCCCUGGGCUCAAACUGGGAACUGCAUUCGAAACGGGCAGGCUAGAGUCUUGUAGAGGGGGGUAGAAUUCCAGGUGUAGCGGUGAAAUGCGUAGAGAUCUGGAGGAAUACCGGUGGCGAAGGCGGCCCCCUGGACAAAGACUGACGCUCAGGUGCGAAAGCGUGGGGAGCAAACAGGAUUAGAUACCCGAGUAGUC